GGUCCCGAGGUGUUCCACGUGAAGUUGCAAACUUCAAGAAGCAAAUAAUUAUUGCCGGGGCU
rnacentral:tRNA from 1 species